rnacentral:lncRNA from 1 species
GCAAAAGGGUGCCAGAGGGAAGCCGAUGGCUCGACACAGAGGGGCGGAAGGAACCAGCAAUCCGUGUCGAAUGCAGCGCUCUGUUCAAUAAUAAUGUAUCAUAAUUGGUCCAGGGAUCAUAUUCCUUCUCGGAUUACGUCUUAUGCUACCAGCACGUAUUGUCUAUUUAAUUACGAUAAAUGUGUUAUAAAUAGUAUCUAUGUGUAUAGGUAUAUGUAUUGUACUAUAUAGAGAACGAUUGGUUUAAUUCGAAGUUAAUUGCUUUUUUACCGAUCGAUUGGGUUUUAUUGAAUAUGAGGUUGGAAUUUGUGUAAUAAAAUGUAUAUAGGAGAAUAACAUAACAAUAUAUUUGUUCUACCAUA